UACGCGAGCUGGGUUUAGAACGUCGUGAGACAGUUCGGUCCCUAUCUGCCGUGGGCGCUGGAGAACUGAGGGGGGCUGCUCCUAGUACGAGAGGACCGGAGUGGACGCAUCACUGGUGUUCGGGUUGUCAUGCCAAUGGCACUGCCCGGUAGCUAAAUGCGGAAGAGAUAAGUGCUGAAAGCAUCUAAGCACGAAACUUGCCCCGAGAUGAGUUCUCCCUGAGACUUUAGGUCUCCUGAAGGAACGUUGAAGACGACGACGUUGAUAGGCCGGGUGUGUAAGCGCAGCGAUGCGUUGAGCUAACCGGUACUAAUGAACCGUGAGGCUUAACCUUACAACGCCGAAG
rnacentral:rRNA from 1 species